ACUCCGGAUCCUAACUAGCCCUUUGAUGUCCUUCAAUGUCUGCACCCCCAAGAACCCGCGAGGCUCCCUCGGCGUGGAGGUGGCAGGUGAGCCACCCGACUAUACUCACCUGCCGCAAGUCACUGCGGCUCGUCGGCCCCUCCCCCGCGCGCCUGCCCUGGGGUUCAGAUUACCUGCGCGGACUCUCUCCCCGAGAGGUAGAAGCCCUAGAGGACCGGGAGGGGCACCCUGCCGCACCCGAGACUUCUAGGGCGAGUUCGCAGGUGUAGGCUCCGCAGUGCCUCCUCUCCCAGCGCAGACCACGGCGAAGCUGGGCUUCGGGGAAGGACGCAUUUCUCCCUCGCCGCCUCCCCACGGCUGUGUAGAGCCCCAAGACUUGAAGAUGGGGGGCAAUGCCUGUUCAAGCUCGUGGCUGCACUACCCCUCACGCAGAUUUCCGGGAAGUUACUGUGGCCUUCACAACUUGACUGGAGGAGACAUGAGAUAAAUAAGCAGAAGAACAAAUAAAAGUGCCUGAGAUCAGGGCUGUGAGGAGCGUAAGACAGCAGCACCCUGAGAUUGAGUAGCUUUCCUGCAGGAGAGAGUGACAGGGACAUCACUGGCCUACUUUACAUGAGAUGGCUAAGGAUGACCCCCCUCAGGAAUGGGAAUUUGGGCUGAGACAUAAAGAAAAGAAGAGCUGGCAUUGUUAUCCUUUCUAGAAGGAAGAUGGGAACAGAGGAAAGAUGGAGCUGAGAGCAUUUAGAGAGUAAGAGAAAAGGAGAUUGAGAUGAGAGCACAGAACGGGCAGGGCCGGGAGAGAAGAAACUUCCUGAGUCAAGAAUAGAGUGAGUGAAGACAUUGUACCAGUGGUGGCUAUUGUACUUGCAUUUUUUUUUAAGAGUACUUUGUUGAUUAAUCAUGCAACCACAGUAACCCAAAUUUCAUAUUCUCUACACCUGCUCUAAGAAGAAGCGAAAUAAAAACAAGUUGUGUUCAAUGUUGGUGAGUCGCUCCCAGUGUUCUUGUCUAAGGCCCUGAGGCUCAACUGAGAGUUGACCUUUCUACCCCAAGAGGCCUGAACUCUGACGUUGCAAGUGGGGCGAGAUAUUGGGUUGAAAAUUGUCUCUCCUGGAAUGUAUAUAACAGGGGAUCAAAGAACUCUUGUUGUUAAGCAAUCUAGACUUCUACCUAUCCCCAUGCUGGGCCCCAAGCUCACCAACAUAAUAGUAUUUUUUCAAACACAGCUACCUCUAUAGCACCCCUACAUCCCCGAACCCCUAGGCUGAUCGGUACCCAUCCUCCCUGAGCAUUUCUGGCCAUCUUGGAAAGUGAACAGUGGUAGAGUGGAGUGAUAACCCGAUGUUCCUUGCGUUUGUCAAUCACGUGAUGCUAGAGUUGUCUCUCCUCCAUGCUGGGCCUGGUGUUUCAGCCUUUUGGGUAAUGCUGAUGCUCUUUGUCAUGACAUAGAUGUUCAAGGGAAAUCUAUGUGCAGGAGCAUCCUGUAAAUCCUCAAGGCCAUGUGCACACUGGGCAUGAUUCACAGCCCAUGUCAAAACCAGAUGAUGACUUUGUGCAAGGAUUAGGAGAGCCCCCUGCUGCGGGCCUCUUUGUAACAAAUCUCCACAUACUCCUGAUGUUCGUGUGUCCCCACCCAGCAUGUUAAGUCCAAAGGAUGUAUGGGUCCUACUCAUUUUCAAGGAAGAGGCCAGAUUUAGGGAUGAACCCUGCUGCCUCCAAGUCUGGUUUUUCACAAUGAAUCAAACAGAGUCGAAGGAGGGGUGGAGUACUCCCAUCCUGUGUGUGUUUGCUUGGCCCAGAACCAGCAAAUCUGAGUGACCAGCUUAUUUUGAUUUGCUAGAAACUUGAAUGGUUUUAGUCCUGAACACUUCUGUCGAAAGCUAAUGGUGAUAGCGGUCAUCCUACCUGGGUGCCUCCCUGUCUUGGUCAUUGCCUUCCACCCUGAACAAAGAGCUAUCUUGAGAACUGGGUUAGGUAUGUCACGGGGAUGGGAAAGAGUGGGCACAGAAAGCAGGGGAAACCGAGUUUUCAGAGAUGCUGCUUUUAACAGAGACUGGGGCAGCCGGUCAUCCAAUCAAAGAGACUAUUAGUUGAACACUUAUUCUGUUUUUGUUCAUUUGUUUUAAGUUUCAUUCCCUGGGGUAGGUGAUAGCCACUGUACCCACCUCACCUUUGAGAGUUCUUCACCUGUAGCUCUGUUCCCCGCCUGCCAGACUUUGGCUACGAAAUCGAUGUAGGAGCGUUACACAUUGACACAGUCCCAGAUUAAGGAGAGAGGUACCAGAGGCUACGUAAUCAUGAGAUUUUUCUUUUCUUUCUUUCUGUUUCAUUUUUUUUCUUAGAUAACUAGGCCAGACUCUUUCCAACGGGGAGGGCGGGAGUUAACCUGCAGAUGGACAGAGACAAGAAGGAGGACCCCUGAGAAGAAGCAAGAGCUGCACCUGCAGACUGGGACCUCAAGCCCCUCCUACCUACCGCUCACACAUUUCUCUUGCUCUCAGGCUGUCUCGGAGAGAGGAGAGAUGGAGCUGGUCUUCCAUCAGGCCCACUGCUUCAGGGGGCCCUGUGAUCAUAUGGUUGAUGUUUGCUGAAAGUGUGAUUUGUGCUCAGGAGUCUGAGAUUGUAGCUCGGCUCCCUCAGGAGCCUCAUGAAAGAUGCAUUUCACCAGGCGGUUCCAGGGGAGAGGCUGGCUUAAAUUACAGCUCUAGGAAUCCAAAUAUUGGCAGAUCUGCAAAUCCAAAUGUGUGUGUGUGGGGGGGGACCCUAAAUUCCAAGAAUCUUAUUCUGCACUUCUUGUGUGCAAAAAGGGGAAGAUGAGAUUCAGAAAGGAGAGAUUCCGAGGCUUCAGAAGAGCACAUCCCAACACCUCCACCCUUUUCUCUCCCAUGCUUUCUGCAUGCCUUCAAGGAGGCAGGCUGUGACACAGAGGGGAAGGUAGCAUUUGUUCAGUGUGACAGUUUUUAGGACAGGUAGGGCAGGGUGUGCAGCAUGUGGAACACAGCAGGGCUCAGCCCUCUCUGUCUGUCUAUCUCAGUACAGGUUUCUGGGUCUAGGAUGAAGGUUUCUUUUGGGUCAGUAAAGGCACUACAGUCAUCCACAACCCAGCAGGGCAAGGGAUCCUGAACCUCUGUGAGAGAAGCCAAGUUAUUUCUCUGCUCAAAAUUCUCAUCUGCCUUAAAGAGGGGUGGGGUGUUCUUUUCGUAGGCUCCUAGAUCAUUUCACUAGUUUUCUUCCCAUCAUCUCAAGACAAGAUGGCCCUUCAUUACUCCCUUCCUCCAUGGCAAGUGCAUAUCCCCCUCAGGAUCUAAACUUUUCUCAUUCCUUCUGCCUGGGGUGCUUAUCCCUGCAAAGCUUAUCAGGCUCUGUUCGGUCUUCACUAAGAUGUCAACCUCCAGAUACAUAUCCCCGAUGUUAUUAUUUUAAAAUUCCUAGACUUCCCAUACAUGCUCUUGUGUACAACAGUGACUUAGUUGUGUCUCCAAGGACCCCUGGGUCGGUGGCUUGGUUAUUAAAGUAUUGAAGUGAUGGCAUCUUUAAAUAGUGAAACUUCCUGGAAGAUGGUUAGACCAUUGGUGGCACUUCCAGUGGAAGGAAUUGUGAUCAUUCUAGAUUCCUGAUUUGUUCCCAAGAGAGCAAGUUGUUAUAGAAGAGCAAGCCUAAUUGGCCUCCUGUCUGAUCAUGUGACCUCUCCCCUGCACAUGCUACAGCUAUAGUGGUGGCAUCCAGCAGGAGGCAUGAGUCACACAGAAGCUGGUACCGUGCUCUUUAUCCUGUAAAACGGAGUAAAUAACCCUUUCUCUUUGCAAGUACCCAGCCUCAGGUGUUUUGUUACAGCCAUGGAAAUAGAUGAUCAUAACCCCUUUCUGUUCUGUUUUCUAUUAUUUAAACUACUUAUUUUAUUCCCUUUUCUUAUUUUGUAUCACUUAGUAACUUGAUUUGGUUGUCAUAGCUCAUAUACUAUAAGCUCUGAAUUAUAGUUGAUUGAAUAAUUGAAAGUAUCUUUACGGAACAUCUCUAUCCGUCUUCAUAGCAUGAUUUCUCUUUGAUUUACAGGGGGGACUGUCAAGCUCUAAAAUUUAGUAAGUGCCUAUAUUGUAACCAGCACAGUAGUCCAGAAACUUGGGCUUCAGACAGGUCUUUGAACCAGACUUGGGUGCAUCAAGAAAUAGAACCUUGCGCUACCUUGCAUGGUAUCCACAGGUC
ensembl:processed_transcript